rnacentral:rRNA from 1 species
GACGAACGCUGGCGGCGUGCUUAACACAUGCAAGUCGAACGGAAAGGCCUCUUUCGGGGGGUACUCGAGUGGCGAACGGGUGAGUAACACGUGAGUAACCUGCCCUUGACUUUGGGAUAACUUCAGGAAACUGGGGCUAAUACCGGAUAGGAGCUCCUGCUGCAUGGUGGGGGUUGGAAAGUUUCGGCGGUUGGGGAUGGACUCGCGGCUUAUCAGCUUGUUGGUGGGGUAGUGGCUUACCAAGGCCUUGACGGGUAGCCGGCCUGAGAGGGUGACCGGCCGCAUUGAGACUGAGAUACGGCCCAGACUCCGACGGGAGGCAGCAGUGGGGAAUAUUGCACAAUGGGUGGAAGCCGGAUGCAGCAACGCCGUGUGCGGGAUGACGGCCUUCGGGUUGUAAACCGCUUUCGCUCAUGACGAAGCUUUGUGUGACGGUAGUGGGUAAAGAAGCACCGGCUAACUACGUG